rnacentral:rRNA from 1 species
UACGGAGGGUGCAAGCGUAAUCCGGAAUUACUGGGUUUAAAGGGUGCGUAGGCGGCUUGAUAAGUCAGGGGUGAAAGGCUAUCGCUUCACGAUAGAAUUGGCUUUGAUACUGUAAAGCUUGAAAGGCGUUGAGGUCAGCAGAAUGUGGCAUGUAGCGGUGAAAUGCAUAGAUAUGCCAUAGAACACCGAUUGCGAAGGCAGCUGGCUGGGCCUACUUUGUCGCUGAGGCACGAAAGCGUGGGGAGCGAACAGG